rnacentral:rRNA from 1 species
AGUGAACGCUGGCGGUAGGCCUAACACAUGCAAGUCGAACGGCAGCACAGGAGAGCUUGCUCUCUGGGUGGCGAGUGGCGGACGGGUGAGGAAUACAUCGGAAUCUGCCCAGUCGUGGGGGAUAACGUAGGGAAACUUACGCUAAUACCGCAUACGACCUUCGGGUGAAAGAGGGGGACCGCAAGACCUCUCGCGAUUGGAUGAGCCGAUGUCGGAUUAGCUAGUUGGCGGGGUAAUGGCCCACCAAGGCGACGAUCCGUAGCUGGUCUGAGAGGAUGAUCAGCCACACUGGAACUGAGACACGGUCCAGACUCCUACGGGAGGCAGCAGUGGGGAAUAUUGGACAAUGGGCGCAAGCCUGAUCCAGCCAUACCGCGUGGGUGAAGAAGGCCUUCGGGUUGUAAAGCCCUUUUGUUGGGAAAGAAAUCUUUCAGGCUAAUACCCUGGGAGGAUGACGGUACCCAAAGAAUAAGCACCGGCUAACUUCGUG